ensembl:snRNA U6 U6 spliceosomal RNA
UUUAAAAAGAUAAUAAAAUAAAAUAAAAUUGGAACGAUACAGAGAAGAUUAGCCUGGCUCCUGUGCAAGGAUGACAUGCAAAUUCGUGAAGCAUUCCAAAAUUAC